CAGCCGCCACGGUAAUACGUAGGUGGCGAGCGUUGUCCGGAAUUAUUGGGCGUAAAGGGCUCGCAGGCGGUUUCUUAAGUCUGAUGUGAAAGCCCCCGGCUCAACCGGGGAGGGUCAUUGGAAACUGGGAAACUUGAGUGCAGAAGAGGAGAGUGGAAUUCCACGUGUAGCGGUGAAAUGCGUAGAGAUGUGGAGGAACACCAGUGGCGAAGGCGACUCUCUGGUCUGUAACUGACGCUGAGGAGCGAAAGCGUGGGGAGCGAACAGGAUUAGAUACCCCUGUAGUCCCUGUCUCUUAUAA
rnacentral:rRNA from 1 species